CAAUAGCGUAUAUUAAAGUUGUUGCGGUUAAAAAGCUCGUAGUUGGAUUUCUGCUGAGAACGACCGGUCCGCCCUUUGGGUGUGUAUCUGGCUCUUUCUUGGCAUCUUCUUGGUGAACGUUGCUGCACUUGACUGUGUGGAGCGCUACCCAGGACUUUUACUUUGAGGAAAUUAGAGUGUUUCAAGCAGGCAUACGCCUUGAAUACAUUAGCAUGGAAUAAUAAGAUAGGACCUCGGUUCUAUUUUGUUGGUUUCUAGAGCUGAGGUAAUGAUUAAUAGGGAUAGUUGGGGGCAUUCGUAUUUAACUGUCAGAGGUGAAAUUCUUGGUUUUGUUAAAGACGGACUACUGCGAAAGCAUUUGCCAAGGAUGUUUUCAUUGA
rnacentral:rRNA from 1 species